CUUCAACGAGCCCAGCCACAACGGCUCGUCGCCGGAACGCCGCCGCCCGUAGGUGGCGAGCAGCGCCUGCGCCUC
rnacentral:antisense_RNA from 1 species